AUUGAACGCUGGCGGCAUGCCUUACACAUGCAAGUCGAACGGCAGCACGGGUGCUUACACCUGGUGGCGAGUGGCGAACGGGUGAGUAAUACAUCGGAACGUACCUUAUCGUGGGGGAUAACGCAGCGAAAGCUGUGCUAAUACCGCAUACGCCCUGAGGGGGAAAGCGGGGGAUCGCAAGACCUCGCGCGAUUAGAGCGGCCGAUGCCUGAUUAGCUUGUUGGUGGGGUAAAAGCCCACCAAGGCGACGAUCAGUAGCUGGUCUGAGAGGACGAUCAGCCACACUGGGACUGAGACACGGCCCAGACUCCUACGGGAGGCAGCAGUGGGGAAUUUUGGACAAUGGGGGCAACCCUGAUCCAGCAAUGUCGCGUGAGUGAAGAAGGCCUUCGGGUUGUAAGGCUCUUUUGUCAGGGAAGAAACACCGGCUCUAACACAGUCCGGGAAUGACGGUACCUGAAGAAUAAGCACCGGCUAACUACGUGCCAGCAGCCGCGGUAA
rnacentral:rRNA from 1 species